rnacentral:rRNA from 1 species
UUAAGCGACUAAGCGUACACGGUGGAUGCCCUGGCAGUCAGAGGCGAUGAAGGACGUGCUAAUCUGCGAAAAGCGUCGGUAAGGUGAUAUGAACCGUUACAGCCGGCGAUGUCCGAAUGGGGAAACCCAGUGCAAUUCGUUGCACUAUCGUUAACUGAAUACAUAGGUUAACGAGGCGAACCGGGGGAACUGAAACAUCUAAGUACCCCGAGGAAAAGAAAUCAACCGAGAUUCCCCCAGUAGCGGCGAGCGAACGGGGAGCAGCCCAGAGUCUGAAUCAGCUUGUGUGUUAGUGGAACGGUCUGGAAAGUCCGACGGUACAGGGUGAUAGUCCCGUACACCAAAAUGCACAGGCUGUGAACUCGAAGAGUAGGGCGGGACACGUGGUAUCCUGUCUGAAUAUGGGGGGACCAUCCUCCAAGGCUAAAUACUCCUGACUGACCGAUAGUGAACCAGUACCGUGAGGGAAAGGCGAAAAGAACCCCGGCGAGGGGAGUGAAAAAGAACCUGAAACCGUGUACGUACAAGCAGUGGGAGCACCUUCGGGUGUGACUGCGUACCUUUUGUAUAAUGGGUCAGCGACUUAUAUUCUGUAGCAAGGUUAACCGUAUAGGGGAGCCGCAGGGAAACCGAGUCUUAACUGGGCGUUAAGUUGCAGGGUAUAGACCCGAAACCCGGUGAUCUAGCCAUGGGCAGGUUGAAGGUUGGGUAACACUAACUGGAGGACCGAACCGACUAAUGUUGAAAAAUUAGCGGAUGACUUGUGGCUGGGGGUGAAAGGCCAAUCAAACCGGGAGAUAGCUGGUUCUCCCCGAAAGCUAUUUAGGUAGCGCCUCGUGAACUCAUCUUCGGGGGUAGAGCACUGUUUCGGCUAGGGGGUCAUCCCGACUUACCAACCCGAUGCAAACUACGAAUACCGAAGAAUGUUAUCACGGGAGACACACGGCGGGUGCUAACGUCCGUCGUGAAGAGGGAAACAACCCAGACCGCCAGCUAAGGUCCCAAAGUCAUGGUUAAGUGGGAAACGAUGUGGGAAGGCACAGACAGCCAGGAUGUUGGCUUAGAAGCAGCCAUCAUUUAAAGAAAGCGUAAUAGCUCACUGGUCGAGUCGGCCUGCGCGGAAGAUGUAACGGGGCUAAACCAUGCACCGAAGCUGCGGCAGCGACACUAUGUGUUGUUGGGUAGGGGAGCGUUCUGUAAGCCUGCGAAGGUGUGCUGUGAGGCAUGCUGGAGGUAUCAGAAGUGCGAAUGCUGACAUAAGUAACGAUAAAGCGGGUGAAAAGCCCGCUCGCCGGAAGACCAAGGGUUCCUGUCCAACGUUAAUCGGGGCAGGGUGAGUCGACCCCUAAGGCGAGGCCGAAAGGCGUAGUCGAUGGGAAACAGGUUAAUAUUCCUGUACUUGGUGUUACUGCGAAGGGGGGACGGAGAAGGCUAUGUUAGCCGGGCGACGGUUGUCCCGGUUUAAGCAUGUAGGCUGNCAGGCUUGUAGCUCAGGUGGUUAGAGCGCACCCCUGAUAAGGGUGAGGUCGGUGGUUCAAGUCCACUCAGGCCUACCAAAUUUGCGAAGCAAAUUUGAAGAGGUUGCAAACGAUGGGGCUAUAGCUCAGCUGGGAGAGCGCCUGCUUUGCACGCAGGAGGUCUGCGGUUCGAUCCCGCAUAGCUCCACCAUCUUUACUGCGAACACAAGAAAACUUCAGAGUGAACCUGAAAAGGUGCACUGCGAAGUUUUGCUCUUUAAAAAUCUGGAUCAAGCUGAAAAUUGAAACGACACACAGUUAAUGUGUGUUCGAGUCUCUCAAAUUUUCGCAAUCAGAAGUGAAACAUCUUCGGGUUGUGAGG